rnacentral:rRNA from 1 species
AGCUUGCUGCGGGUACUCGAGUGGCGAACGGGUGAGUAACACGUGGGUGAUCUGCCUUGCACUUCGGGAUAAGCUUGGGAAACUGGGUCUAAUACCGGAUAGGACAGCUGUUUAGUGUCAGUUGUGGAAAGUUUUUUCGGUGCAAGAUGAGCUCGCGGCCUAUCAGCUUGUUGGUGGGGUAAUGGCCUACCAAGGCGUCGACGGGUAGCCGGCCUGAGAGGGUGUACGGCCACAUUGGGACUGAGAUACGGCCCAGACUCCUACGGGAGGCAGCAGUGGGGAAUAUUGCACAAUGGGCGGAAGCCUGAUGCAGCGACGCCGCGUGGGGGAUGAAGGCCUUCGGGUUGUAAACUCCUUUCGACAGGGACGAAGCGUAAGUGACGGUACCUGUAUAAGAAGCACCGGCUAACUACGUGCCAGCAGCCGCGGUAAUACGUAGGGUGCGAGCGUUGUCCGGAAUUACUGGGCGUAAAGGGUACGCAGGCGGUUUAAUAAGUCGAAUGUUAAAGAUCGGGGCUCAACCCCGUAAAGCAUUGGAAACUGAUAAACUUGAGUAGUGGAGAGGAAAGUGGAAUUCCUAGUGUAGUGGUGAAAUACGUAGAUAUCAGGAGGAACACCGAUGGCGAAGGCAGGUCUCUGGGCCAGUAACUGACGCUGAGGAGCGAAAGCAUGGGUAGCGAACAGGAUUAGAUACCCUGGUAGUCCAUGCCGUAAACGGUGGGCGCUAGGUGUAGGGGGCUUCCACGUCUUCUGUGCCGUAGCUAACGCAUUAAGCGCCCCGCCUGGGGAGUAC